UAGCUCAGUGGUAGAGCGCUUGCCUAGUAUACAAGAAGCCUUGGGUUCAGUCCCCAG
rnacentral:tRNA from 1 species